rnacentral:rRNA from 1 species
UACGUAGGUGGCAAGCGUUGUCCGGAAUUAUUGGGCGUAAAGAGCUCGUAGGCGGCUUGUCGCGUCGUGUGUGAAAUCUCAGGGCUCAACUCUGACAUUGCAUACGAUACGGGCAGGCUUGAGUUCGGUAGGGGAGACUGGAAUUCCUGGUGUAGCGGUGAAAUGCGCAGAUAUCAGGAGGAACACCGGUGGCGAAGGCGGGUCUCUGGGCCGAUACUGACGCUGAGGAGCGAAAGCGUGGGGAGCGAACAGG